GAUGAACGCUGGCGGCGUGCCUAAUACAUGCAAGUCGAGCGAACGGACGAGAAGCUUGCUUCUCUGAUGUUAGCGGCGGACGGGUGAGUAACACGUGGAUAACCUACCUAUAAGACUGGGAUAACUUCGGGAGACCGGAGCUAAUACCGGAUAAUAUUUUGAACCGCAUGGUUCAAAAGUGAAAGACGGUCUUGCUGUCACUUAUAGAUGGAUCCGCGCUGCAUUAGCUAGUUGGUAAGGUAACGGCUUACCAAGGCAACGAUGCAUAGCCGACCUGAGAGGGUGAUCGGCCACCCUGGAACUGAGACACGGUCCAGACUCCUACGGGAGGCAGCAGUAGGGAAUCUUCCGCAAUGGGCGAAAGCGUGAUGGAGCAACGCCGCGUGAGUGAUGAAGGUCUUCGGAUCGUAAAACGCUGUUAUUAGGGAAGAACAUAUGUGUAAGUAACUGUGCACAUCUUGACGGUACCUAAUCAGAAAGCCACGGCUAACUACGUG
rnacentral:rRNA from 1 species